rnacentral:rRNA from 1 species
CCUACGGGUGGCUGCAGUGAGGAAUAUUGGUCAAUGGACGAGAGUCUGAACCAGCCAAGUCGCGUGAAGGAUGACGGCCCUAUGGGUUGUAAACUUCUUUUAUAGGGGAGUAAAAUUUUCCACGUGUGGCGUUCCGUAUGUACCCUAUGAAUACGGAUCGGCUAACUCCGUCCCAGCAGCCGCGGUAAUACGGAGGAUCCGAGCGUUAUCCGGUUUUAUUGGGUUUAAAGGGUGCGCAGGGGGAUGUUUAAGUCGGUGGUAAAAUUUUGCGGCUAAACCUUAGCCUGCAGUUGAAACUGGGAGUCUUGAGUGCAGGAGAGGUGGGCGGAAUUCGUGGUGUAGCGGUGAAAUGCUUAGAUAUCACGAAGAACUCCGAUUGCGAAGGCAGCUUACUGGAGUGCAACUGACGCUGAGGCUCGAAAGUGUGGGUAGCAAACAGGAUUAGAUACCCUGGUAGUC